rnacentral:misc_RNA from 1 species
GUGAGUCAUCGAAUCUUUGAACGCACCUUGCGCUCCUUGGUAUUCCGAGGAGCAUGCCUGUUUGAGUGUCAGUUUAUUCUCAAUCUAUCUAGUUCUAGUAGCUUGGAUGUGGAGGUUUUUGCUGGCCCUUUUUGAGGUGUCAGCUCCUCUAAAAUACAUUAGCAGAACUGUUUGCAAUCCAUUAACUGGUGUGAUAAAUAUCUCUACCAGUGGGGUUGCUCUCAGCUUGUUCAGCUUCUAAUAGUUUCAUUUUAUGAUGAACCUUUGACCUCAAAUCAGGUAGGACUACCCGCUGAACUUAAGCAUAUCAAUAAGCGGAGGA